rnacentral:rRNA from 1 species
UACGGAGGAUGCAAGCGUUAUCCGGAUUUAUUGGGCUUAAAGGGUGCGUAGGCGGAAUAGUAAGUCAGUGGUGAAAGCCUGCAGCUUAACUGUAGAAUUGCCAUUGAUACUGCUAAUCUUGAGUACAUAUGAAGUGGGCGGAAUGUGUCAUGUAGCGGUGAAAUGCUUAGAUAUGACACAGAACACCGAUUGCGAAGGCAGCUCACUGAACUGUAACUGACGCUGAGGCACGAAAGCAUGGGGAGCAAACAGG